AGUUUCCUGUUUAGACAUGUGGGCUUAUCUUCUCUAAAUGCAGAUACUGUAUUGGUGACAUGUUGGUAAACCAGAGCUAAUGGAUACCGCAGAGAACCAGCCGAGUAGGUUGAGGGCUCACAUUUACAUUUUUCAUUCAGCCUCCGCUUUUAUGCAAAGUGACUUACAAUAGGUUCAUUCAACCAAGAGGGUACAGACCCAGAACAACAAGUAAGUGCUAAUAAGCUGCAGAGGUUGCAUGGCGCCGGCAGGUAGACCUGCUAGAAGUGAGUUACAAUAAUCAAGGCAAGGCAAUUUUAUUUGUAUAGCACAUUUCAACAACAAGGCAAUUCAAAGUGCUUCAUAUAAAAACAUCAAAAACAUCCAAACAUAAAGCAAGGAGAUUUAUAAAAAGUUAAGAACAUUGAAACAUAAAAGAAAAACAGUGUAAUUUAAGAAUGUCUUUAAGAAUUCUGUCUUGCCAAAGCGGUCAGUUAAAGGCAGCAGCAUACAGAGAAGUCUUUAAUCUGGAUUAAAAGGAGCUGAAGGAUUCCGCAGACCUGCAGCUUUCUGGGACUUUGUGGAGCAGAAAAACUGAACGCUGCUUCUCCAUGUUUAUUUCUAACUCUGGUAACAGAAAGUAGACCGGUCCCUGACGACCUGAGGGUUCGUGGCGGUUCAUCAGCAGAUCAGAAAUCUAGUUUGGCCCUAAACCAUUCAGUGCUUUAUAAACUAGCAGCAGGAUUUUGAAGUUAAUUCUUUGUUUGGCAAGAAGCCAGUGUAAAUACCUGAGAACUGCAGUGAUGUGAUCCCCUUUCCUGGUACUAGAGAGGACUCGAGCUGCAGCAUUCUUAGUCAAGAUGUGAGAUGACCACACCCUGGACCAGAACCUGCACUGCCUUCUGCGUGAGAAGGGACGUAUUGAGGGAAAGUUGACUGUCGAGUGUAACACCAAGGUUCUUAGCAGGCAGUGAUGGGGUCAGGACGGUGUUGUCCAAGAUGGGAAGAGGAAGUAACCAUCAUACGUUCACGUGUUGAAACAUUUACAUGCCAACAGACAUGCAUCAAGUCUUUUGGAUUACAACAUGUGUGUAAUGAGGCUGUUGUGCCGGAUGAGGUCAAACCAAGUCAUGUUACCAAAUCUAUAAAUAUAUGUAAGUAAAAGUAUUUAGUUUGAGCGUAUUUAGUCCAGUUCAUUAACGUGCCCUUUUCAAAGAAAGCUACAUGUAUUGGCUUGAAUAUUUUCAGGUAAUCGAACUUGUGCGUGACUGUUUGUCGGUUGACAAUUUAAAAAGUUUCACUAUUAAAGAUUGAGCCACUCGGUGCU
ensembl:lncRNA